rnacentral:lncRNA from 13 species
AUGUCCCAGCUUCUCAGGAGGCCGAGGCAGGAGAAUUGCUGGAACCUUGGAGGUGAAUGUUGCAGUGAGCUGAGAUCAUGCCACCGCACUCCAGCCUGGGCAAGAAGAGUGAAACUUUGUCUCAAAAGAGCAAACAGGCAAGCAAGGAGAGCAAACGAGGCAGAAGGACUUGUGGGCUCGAUUCACCAGCUCUAUCCUCAGGAACUCGAGGACCAUCAAGUUCCAUGGCUGGGAGGGAGCCUUUCUGGACAGAAUCCUGGGCAUCCGAGGCCAGGAGCUGCGUACCUUGUGGACCUCUGGCCUCCUCUUCUUUAUGUCGCUGGUGUCCUUCCAAGCAUCUACAUUUCUGGUCAUGUCACUCUAGUCUCUAUGCUGAGCAGGACUGGGGAAGGAGUGUGGAACUCAGAAGGUGAGGUAGGUGGAGCCUCCCUGAUCCUACCACCCUGUCCAUCAAAACCCACACAUUCUGGAUCCUAUUCUCUCAGGGUUUCUGCUAUCUUCUGUGUGAAUGAAUUAAUCACAUCAUUCUGGUGAAGGUGACAGCGGCUGUUGAGGUCUGCUCUUUUGAGAGUUCCAGGCUUCCACUGAUGUAGGGAGGAGGGUUCAGGUGCAGAUAGGCUGCAGAGGUAGAAUCCAGGGUCUGAGUGGCUUUCUUGCUGCUGGCCAGAAAAUGUCCACAGCCACCCUGUCACUGACGUAAUGCUUGUUAUUCCGUUCUGUCAUUUAUUUCUGAUGGCUGUCAGAACACUCUUCCUAAAGCACAGCUUUGAGAAGAAUUUAAACAUGUUGAUGCAUAGACCAGGCACGGUGACUCACGCCUGCCAUCCCAGCUCUUUGGGAGGCUGAGGUACCUUGAACCCAGUUGGUGGAGGUUUCAGUGAGCCUAGAUUGUGCCCCUUCACUCCAGCCUGGGUGACGGAGCAAGACUUUGUGUCAAAAACAAAACAAAACAAAAGGACCACAAAUGGGACCAACACCUAGGGGCCUCCCAUGCUGCUCUCUUCAGGAGUCCCCAGGCUCAGCCCUCGUGUCUAUCACCUUCACAGAGAGGCCGUCCUUACCACCUUCACCACCACCUGAGCACCCCUGCUUGUGCUAGUGCAUUCUAACCUGCACCUGAUUUCUCUUUACUUUUUUAUUUUUGAAGACAGAGUCUUGCUCUGUUCCCCAGGCUGGAGUGCAGUGAUGCAAUGUCGGCUCACUGCAACCUCCACCUCCCAAGUUCAAACAAUCCUCCCACCUCACCCUCCUGAGUAGCUAGGAUUACAGGCAGUUGCCACCACGCCUAGGUAAUUUUCCUUUUUGUACCUUUAGUAGAGAUGGCAUUUCACCAUGUUGGCCAGGCUGGUCUUGAACUCCUAACCUCAGGGGAUCCAUCAACCUCAGCCUCCAAAAGUGCUGGGAUUACAGGUGGGAGCUACUGCACCUGGCCAUACCUGCUUUAGUUUUUAUUUUUCAUAGCACUCUCCACCUGAUGUGCUGUCUGUGUUUAUAGUUUGUUUAUGGAUCGCCUGUCUCUUUCCCCCUCAUUAGAAUGAUGGAUCCAUUAAGAGAGCAGCAACUUUGUUUUGCUCAUUGCUGUUUCCCCAGAGCCUGGAACCCUGUCAGGUAUAUGAUAACCAGGCCGUAGUUAUUCAUAGAAUGAAUGAAUGUAAGAAUGAAUAAAUGGCCAGGUGCUGUGGCUCA